CCUACGGGUGGCAGCAGUGGGGAAUAUUGGGCAAUGGGCGCAAGCCUGACCCAGCAACGCCGCGUGAAGGAAGAAGGCUUUCGGGUUGUAAACUUCUUUUGUCAGGGAAGAGUAGAAGACGGUACCUGACGAAUAAGCCACGGCUAACUACGUGCCAGCAGCCGCGGUAAUACGGAGGAUGCGAGCGUUAUCCGGAUUUAUUGGGUUUAAAGGGUGCGCAGGCAGAGGUGCAAGUCAGCGGUCAAAUUGCGGGGCUCAACCCCGUACUGCCGUUGAAACUGCAUCCCUUGAGUGCGCGAGAAGUAUGCGGAAUGCGUGGUGUAGCGGUGAAAUGCAUAGAUAUCACGCAGAACUCCGAUUGCGAAGGCAGCAUACCGGCGCGCAACUGACGCUCAUGCACGAAAGCGUGGGUAUCGAACAGGAUUAGAUACCCCGGUAGUC
rnacentral:rRNA from 1 species